UAUGUGCUCAGUGUAGAUUUCAAAUUUUCAUUAUGGACAUUAUGAUUCUAUUAUGUGGUGGAAGGUGUUUUGCAUGGAAUAGGGGUUUGAUGUUUAUGGUGGGUAUUGCUUAAGAUGGUUGUGGUUUGUUGUAUGCAGUGGAUAUUGCUUUGAAUGGUUGUGGUUUGGUGUAUGUGAUGGUAUUGCUUUAGAUGACAGUGGAUGGGUGUAUGUGGUUACUAUUGCUUUUUAAUGGUAGUGGUUUGGUGUAU
rnacentral:lncRNA from 1 species